AAUAGUUAAGUGUACAGAUAAGAAACAUAAUGCUUUAUGAAGCCAGCGUAAGUGUGUUAAAAUGUUCUCUGACAGCAUCCAGUUUGUGGCUGAAAGCUCAUAUCUGACUGACUGCAAGUCCAUUUUGACAACUUAACAGUAAUUCAAGACUAUUUCAGACCCUCUGGCCUUGUCACUUCUUUUCACUCUCAGCAAUAAUGCCAAUGCUCACUUUUUGCUAUUCCAGCAGAAUACAAUUAUGACAUCAUAUGCAUUUUUAUUCCUUUAACUCUUAUCCUUCCAAAGCACUUCAGAAGGAUCAAGGAUCCUUCUGGACCCACUGCAACAGCUCCAAGUCUUACUUAUGCUGGGUGCCCCAGAACUGAACACAGAACUGAAGCCCAUUGAAGGGGGUGAUUAUGCAGCUCUAAAAGAUGCAUUCCAGCCACCACAACUGAAGAACCUUUCAUAGCAGAAAAUCUGCCUUGGAUUGCAAGCAACAGCAAAAUGAGUUCAGCACUGGGAUGGGAUUGUUAAACUACCACUCUAUGGCAUAUAAUAAAGACUGUGCCAUCUGCCCUUCAGAGCGUGCCUCUUUUUAUGGUAUGCAAGGUGACACGCAGAUCUGCCUGCUGCAGGAAUCCACUAUACGGAGAGGAAGCAAAUGAGGUUGGCACAGAAACAACACGGAAAGAGAAGUCAAAGAGCAGGUCCCAUUAAUGCUACAGCUUGGUUAUUCAUUAGUGAAUUUCCUAAAAAAGCGAGAACAUAUAGAAACGGAUAAUACCGUACAGAAGUAAAAGGGAGAAAAGGGGUAGAGGAAAAUACAGAGUAAAUUUGCACAGAAAACCAGCAGGGAAUAAAGGCUCCUGCGCAAAAACAGGCAUGAAAGAAGAGGCAAAACAAUACAGAGAUGCUGCUCCAUAUUUUAAUUACAACUUAUCUGCAGGUAACAACCUUCUUGCUACUGUGGCUUUCACACUGAAUAGUCAGAGAUCAAGUCUAAUACUCAUGCAAGAAGAAUUGCUUUCUGAAAGAAGUACAGAAGAACUGCUGAAUGACAGAGCUUUCUUUCAUAUAUCCUAAGUUCAAUAACCAGAGACUGGUCGGAUUCCAAAAAUUCUCUAAGAAAACUUAAUUUUACAUUUAAAAGAACAUAUGCAGUCCAUUUUGGGAAGCUAAUCAGUAAAGUGCAUAAAGCAGAAAGUGGAAAUUUAACGUCAGUGCUAUCCUAGUCUGCAUCUGGAGCCCAUGUUGGUGUCAGUAGGAAAGCAACGACUUCUGCCAAAAGCUGAAUUCUGCCACAGUUACAGUAUACUGCUUAUAUGCAAUAAUGUAAUAACACCUUUUUAAUUAUAUCUUUUUAGUUAGAAAUUAUUUCCAUAGCAGAAAACCACGCUUGUUCAUUGAACCUGCCUUGUAACAAUAGCAUGAAAAAAUGCAUCCCUAAGAUAAACAUAACAAGGUUUCCAAUUCACCUAUGAAAAGUGAGGAAAAAUAAGUUUUUAUUUUUUUUAAGUCUCUGUUUUAAUGUGCUCCUAUUCUCAGAAACAAUAAUUAUUUUGACCUUAUGACUAAACAAGGGGAAAAGCUGUACUUAGGACCUUCUAAAACAGAAUACUUUAACACACUGAAUAACAAUAA